GACCGGCGCACGGGUGCGUAACGCGUAUGCAAUCUACCUUUUACAGAGGGAUAGCCCAGAGAAAUUUGGAUUAAUACCUCAUAGCAUAGCAGUUUCGCAUGAAACCACUAUUAAAGUCACAACGGUAAAAGAUGAGCAUGCGUCCCAUUAGCUAGUUGGUAAGGUAACGGCUUACCAAGGCUACGAUGGGUAGGGGUCCUGAGAGGGAGAUCCCCCACACUGGUACUGAGACACGGACCAGACUCCAACGGGAGGCAGCAGUGAGGAAUAUUGGACAAUGGGCGCAAGCCUGAUCCAGCCAUGCCGCGUGCAGGAUGACGGUCCUAUGGAUUGUAAACUGCUUUUAUACAGGAAGAAACACUACUUCGUGAAGUAGCUUGACGGUACUGUAAGAAUAAGGAUCGGCUAACUCCGUGCCAGCAGCCGCGGUAAUACGGAGGAUCCAAGCGUUAUCCGGAAUCAUUGGGUUUAAAGGGUCCGUAGGCGGUUUAAUAAGUCAGUGGUGAAAGCCCAUCGCUCAACGGUGGAACGGCCAUUGAUACUGUUAAACUUGAAUUAUUAGGAAGUAACUAGAAUAUGUAGUGUAGCGGUGAAAUGCUUAGAGAUUACAUGGAAUACCAAUUGCGAAGGCAGGUUACUACUAAUGGAUUGACGCUGAUGGACGAAAGCGUGGGUAGCGAACAGGAUUAGAUACCCUGGUAGUCCACGCCGUAAACGAUGGAUACUAGCUGUUGGAAGCAAUUUCAGUGGCUAAGCGAAAGUGAUAAGUAUCCCACCUGGGGAGUACGUUCGCAAGAAUGAAACUCAAAGGAAUUGACGGGGGCCCGCACAAGCGGUGGAGCAUGUGGUUUAAUUCGAUGAUACGCGAGGAACCUUACCAAGGCUUAAAUGUAGUUUGACCGAUUUGGAAACAGAUUUUUCGCAAGACAAAUUACAAGGUGCUGCAUGGUUGUCGUCAGCUCGUGCCGUGAGGUGUCAGGUUAAGUCCUAUAACGAGCGCAACCCCUGUUGUUAGUUGCCAGCGAGUCAUGUCGGGAACUCUAACAAGACUGCCAGUGCAAACUGUGAGGAAGGUGGGGAUGACGUCAAAUCAUCACGGCCCUUACGCCUUGGGCUACACACGUGCUACAAUGGCCGGUACAGAGAGCAGCCACUGGGCGACCAGGAGCGAAUCUAUAAAACCGGUCACAGUUCGGAUCGGAGUCUGCAACUCGACUCCGUGAAGCUGGAAUCGCUAGUAAUCGGAUAUCAGCCAUGAUCCGGUGAAUACGUUCCCGGGCCUUGUACACACCGCCCGUCAAGCCAUGGAAGCUGGGGGUGCCUGAAGUCGGUG
rnacentral:rRNA from 1 species